AUGGUUUAUAGAAAGCACCUAACAUUCUACCCUUUAUUAAUAAAUACACUCGAAAGCCUAGUGACACCUGGGAAAAAGCCUCCACAGUGCAAAAGAGAUUCCAGUGGUCUCAGAUGCCUGAGGCCCAUUUCUCCAGGACAUGAGGUUUUCAAUGCUAAAGUGUGGCAUGUUCAAGGACACAUGGCACAGUCUGAUAGAGCCAUGGGUAAUAACAAGCUGGCUGCAAAGAAGAGCACAGAAGAGGACGGUGGAACAGGCAUUGUGCAGAAUUCCCUUCUGGCAAGAGAAACCAAGAGAGCAACUUCAUCACACCGAUUCUUUCACGCUCCGGCAGCUUGUGACUCUCAUUAGCCAGGCCCAACUGAAACACGAUGGCCAGGUCAUCUAAUCCACAUGUACCAUGGGAAGACAGGACAGAGGGACACAUCUUUGAUGAUGGAGAGAGCAGUGUAGAAGAAGCCACAUCCUUGAUCCAGGGUACGAAGGAACAGGAUGAUGUUUGUUUAGAACAUGAAGUUGAUUGGAAUAAAAUGUAUUGAGUAAUAUUAAUAAGCAGAAUCAAUAUUAAAAUUCCCUCAUGGUUUGGAAAGGACUCAUCUUCUCGUGAAUAUUGGACUUUGGUUGGGAUGUUGUCUGGAGACAGAGAGCAAAGAACAGGUCCUUGGUCCUGGGUGUCCUCAAAGGUUUGCUAGGUGACUGAUGCUUCCCAUGAUGCCAGCCUUCAAAAUGAUUCCAAAUGAUCCCUUAGUGAUAUGCACUCCACUUUUCCCCAGAGCCGGUCUAUAAACCAACAGAACCCAACAGAAGCCAUGAAGUGUCACUUCUGAGGUAACAAAGUUAUAGUAGCCUCUCUCCAUCUCUUUCCCUCUUCUUCCCGCUUUUUUUUCUUCCUUUCUGUCCUAACCAAGGUCUCCUCCUCUUUCCUCUUCCCCCAUUUCUCCUUCUCACCUUCCUCCCCCCUCUCUCCCUUCCUUCCUUUCCAUUGGCCUGGGAAGCUGCUUCAGAAGAAGUGGGACCUCCUGAGAGACCCACUUAAUGAGUUGCUGAGGCUUCCUGAUACCAUUUCACAGAAAAGCUUGGAAAUUGAUUUAUGACCUAUUGAACCUUCAGAUGAGAUGGCCACCCUCCUGAC
rnacentral:lncRNA from 1 species